UUUUGGAAGUAAAAGUCGUAACAAGGUUUCCGUAGGUGACCUGCGGAAGGAUCAUUAACGCAAUGGUAGGGGGUUGAAAAACUCUCCUCACCGUUACCCACCUUUUCUUCACGAGUACUUUCUUAUUCUUCCUCGGCGGGGGCAACUCGCCGGUGGAACCUUUACAAACUCUUUUGUAUCUAAGAAAUACUGUUCUGAUAAACCGAAAUCGUUUACAACUUUCAACAAUGGAUCUCUUGGCUCUGGCAUCGAUGAAGAACGCAGCGAAAUGCGAUAAGUAGUGUGAAUUGCAGAAUCCAGUGAAUCAUCGAAUCUUUGAACGCACAUUGCGCCCCUCGGUAUUCCGUGGGGCAUGCCUGUUCGAGCGUCAUUUACACCCUCAAGCACUGCUUGGUGUUGGGCGUCUGUCCGCGAGGACUCGCCCCAAAGGCAUUGGCAGCCCUGGCUGAUAUUCGCCCUCGCAGCACAUUGCGUCGGGAGGAGCGGCCGGAGGCGUCCAUCAAGUCUCUUCCAUCAGUUGACCUCGGAUCAGGUGAGACGG
rnacentral:rRNA from 1 species